rnacentral:rRNA from 1 species
CGAGUCGAGCGUCUCUAGCUAUGUUGAGACGCGGCAGACGGCUCAGUAACACGUGGCUAACCUACCCUCAGGACGAGGAUAAACCCGGGAAACUGGGGCUAAUACUCGAUAGGUGAGAAUGUCUGGAAUGACUUCCCACCCAAAGGGCCUUGGAAACAUGCUUUCAAUGUCGCCUGGGGAUGGGGCCGCGUCCGAUCAGGUUGUUGGUGAGGUAACGGCUCACCAAGCCUAUAACCGGUACGGGCCGUGAGAGCGGUAGCCCGGAGAUGGGUACUGAGACAAGGACCCAGGCCCUACGGGGCGCAGCAGUCGCGAAAACUCCGCAAUGCACGAAAGUGUGACGGGGCUACCCCGAGUGCCAUCCGCUGAGGAUGGCUUUUCUUUGGUAUAACUAGCCAUUGGAAUAAGGAGAGGGCAAGACUGGUGUCAGCCGCCGCGGUAAUACCAGCUCUCCGAGUGGUAGGGAUGAUUAUUGGGCUUAAAGCGUCCGUAGCCGGCUUAGCAAGUCUCCUGUUAAAUUCAGCGACCUAAUCGUUGACCCGCGGGAGAUACUACUAGGCUAGGAGGCGGGAGAGGUCGACGGUACUUCUGGGGUAGGGGUGAAAUCCUAUAAUCCCAGGAGGACCACCAGUGGCGAAGGCUGUUGACUAGAACGCGCUCGACGGUGAGGGACGAAAGCUGGGGGAGCGAACCGGAUUAGAUA